UCCUUGUGGAUUGGCAGAUAAAUUGCCCAAGAAUUGACUGCCUCAAACUUUCCCUGUUUCAUUCAAAUAGAGACCAUCACUUGAUAAUUAUCACUUCCCAUCUUAAGAAUGACUCCUAAUUUGGGUCUAUUUUGGAGAAGGAAGACCUAGAAAGAAAAAUAAAAUUAAAUCGUAAUUGGAUUGAGAAUUGUAAUCCUAUUCAACUUCAAAUUUAUAUAUAUUUUCUAUUGUCCUACAAAAAAAAAGUAUUGUAUUUUGACUAGGAGAAGAAUUUCAUUCCCAUCACAUGACAUCUAUAAACAGAUGUAUUGUAUCCACAUUUUUUCUUCAAUUAUGAAUUGUGAGCUACAAGCCUACGACGAAAGGGGCAUCAUUCAAGGUAAUUUUCCUCUUUUUUUUAUUUUCGUUACUUUUUCUACAGCUUAACACAACUAUCAUUGAAAAUUCAUAUCUUAUUGUAGAAAAAUUAAAAGCAUGAACAUUUUGAUUUUCUAGAAACUAGACUUCUAGAUCUCUAACAUAUCCAAAAUUCAGAAUUUAAUACCUAAUAUUUUAAAAUGAUUUUCUGAAGUUUAAUAUAGAUUCUACCAUGCUGAAAUUUUCAAAGUUGCGUGGCUUAACCAAAACUUUCAUGUCUUGAUGUAGGAAUGCCGAAAUCACAAGCCGCUCAAUCAUUUAGAAUAUAGACCAAAAGUUCUACAACAUAUCCAAAAUUUAAGAUAUAAUCCCUUCAGAAUCUUUCUAGAUGAUUUUGUAAAGUUAACUUUUAAUUCUGUCAUGUAGCUGAUUUCAGAUUUUUGUUGCCUCACAAAAUAUUUUAUAUCACAAUGUUAGAACAUCGUGCCAAAAAUGGUUGUGAUGGCUUGAAAUUAUACUUAAAAGAAUUAUUUAUUGCCAAGAAAAUAUAGUCUCAAAUCUAACCUAGCUAGCUUAGCAUGACUUUCAAGUCUCAAACCUCUUGACAGGUAACAACUUCUCCUCUAAUUUUUUUGUGGUCUUCCACCAUUUUUGUAGGAAGGCUUCGAAGGAUGAUCAAUGGAGAAGGUAGUCUUAUGAAUCAAAGGAAUGAAUACUCAUUCCCACCUAAAACAAGACUUAAAUGAUUAAAAGACCUCAACCUGUUGAAGAAUUUGAAGACCUCAACUUGCAGACUUGAAAAAUUUGAAGACUUCAACAUGUAUACUUGAAGAAUUUAAAGACCUCAACUUGCGGACUUAAAGAAUUUGAAGACUUCAACUUGUAAACUUAAAGAAUUUGAGGACUUCAACUUGUAAACUUAAAGAAUUUGAGGACUUCAACUUGUAGACUAAGGAUUUCAACUCGAAGACUUAAAGAAUUUGAAGAGUUCGACUUGCAGACUUAAAGGAUUUGAGGACUUCAACUUGCAAACUUUUAAAAAAUUAGAAGACUUCAACUUGCAAAAAAGAAUUUGAAGACUUCAACCUGCAGACUUAAAGAAUUAAAAGGAAUCAACUUGUUGACUUGAGAAUUCAACUUGAAUACUUGCAGAAUUUAAAGACUUCAGCUUGGAGAUUUAAAGAAAUUGAGGACUCCAACUUGUAGACAUACAUAUUUUAACUCGCAGACUUGAAGGAUUUUAAGACUUCAACUUGCAGACUUAAAGAAUUUGAAGACUUCCGCUUGCAGAAAAGAAUUAGAAGACUUCAAGUUGCAGAGUCAAAGAAUCUGAAGACUUCCACCUGGAGACUUAAAGUAUUUGAAGACUUCAACUUGCAUUGUUGAAAGAUUUGAAGACUUCAUCUCGCAUACUCGGGGAAUUUGAGGACUUUAGCUUGCAUACUUGGAGGAUUUGAAGAUUUCAACUUGCAUACUCAGGGAAUUUGAAAACUUCAAUCUCAAAGAAACUUAAAGCAUAAUGUUAACGGAACUCAUACUUAUUUAAAGGCUUGCCCCCAUCUAUUGACCAAUCAAUAAUUCGUACAAGUCUAAAGUUUGAUGAGACAAAAGAUAAAAGAAAAUACUUAUUGA